CUUCGGACAAUAUACAAGGUGCUGCAUGGUUGUCGUCAGCUCGUGCCGUGAGGUGUCGGGUUAAGUCCCAUAACGAGCGCAACCCCUACCUUUAGUUGCCAUCAGGUUAAGCUGGGGACGUCUAAAGGAACUGCCUACGCAAGUAGUGAGGAAGGCGGGGAUGACGUCGAAAUCAGCACGGCCCUUACGUCCAGGGCUACACGACGUGCUACAAUGGCCGAGUACAGAGGGCAGCUACCUGGUGACAGGAUGCAAAUCUCCAAAGUCGGUCUCAGUUCGGAUCGGAGUCUGCAACCCGACUCCGUGAAGUUGGAUUCGCUAGUAAUCGCGCAUCAGCCAUGGCGCGGUGAAUACGUUCCCGGGCCUU
rnacentral:rRNA from 1 species